UACCCGCAGCACAAGUGGUGGUCAUUAUUAUUGGGUCCUAAAGCGUCCGUAGCUGGCGUGUUAGAUGCCUGGGUAAAUCGAUGCGCUCAACGUAUCGAAUUCCGGGUAGACCGGCACGCUCGAGACCGGGAGAGGUGUAGGGUACUCGGGGGGGUAGGGGUAAAAUCCUGUAAUCCUCCGGGGACGACCAGUGGCGAAGGCGCUACACUAGAACGGCUCUGACAGUGAGGGACGAAGCCCUGGGGCGCAAACCGG
rnacentral:rRNA from 1 species